AAGAGGCAUCUCGGUGUGUUCUUGCCUGUGCUGACGUUUGACCCUUGAGCAGAGGUUGCCCUUGGUGAAUUCGCUUUAUUUAUGUUGAAUCACACAAAGGCAACUUUUGUUUGAGUAUCAAAUCCUGCUUGGGA
ensembl:miRNA MIR377 microRNA 377